rnacentral:rRNA from 1 species
GUAAUUAGCCGAGGCUUAUUCAUCUGCUACCGUCAUGCAUUCGUCACAGAUAAAAGAAGUUUACAACUCGAAAGCCUUCAUCCUUCACGCGACAUCGCUCCGUCAGACUUGCGUCCAUUGCGGAAGAUUCUUA